rnacentral:rRNA from 1 species
GGUGGAGCAGGAGCGAGAACUUUUCGAAUAGGCAAUGCCUGAUAAGGUGACUAACCGUAUUAACCACUGCUUAGGUAGUUGAUUGAAAUGGGAGAUUUGUAGAUUAUAUCUCGAGUAGCAAGUUCAGGGAAAGUCUGGUGCCAGCAGCCGCGGUAAUACCAGCUGAGCUAGAAGUGGGUAACAUUGUUGCAGUAAAAACGUACGUAGUCACUGUAAAUCCAUAACUGACGUCAUUCUUGACGUCAAGUCCGGAUAAGUCAUUUCACUUGUUUGAAAUGUCCUCCGCGAAUAAACUAGAAUGAUUAACUUGAAUGUUACACAUCACAGCGCGGGAAGUCUGAAGACGCUGGAGAGAGUCCGCUUGUCGCUCUCACCAGGAUAACCUGUAAGAAUGAUUGAGGGCACUAGUACUUAGUAGCUAGAGGUGAAAUUCCUAGACUUACUAAUGACUAACAACUGCGAAAGCACUUGCCUACUUCAUUUUUGGUGAUCAAGUACUAAAGAGUGGGGAUCGAAGAGGAUUAGAUACCCUCGUAGUCCACUCCCUAAACGAUGCCGACUAGUGGUUGGUGUAAGUUUCGAAUUACAUCAGAACCUUAGCAGAUAUGAAAGUCUCUGGGCUCUGGGGGAAGUACGAUCGCAAGAUCGAAACUUAAAGGAAUUGACGGAACGGCACCACCAGGGGUGGAGCGUGCGGCUUAAUUUGACUCAACGCGGGAAACCUUACUAGGGUAAGACAUUGAUAUGAUUGACAGACUACUUGAUCUUUCUUGAUUUGGUGGGUGGUGGUGCAUGGCCGAUCUUAGUUGGUGGGGUGACCCGUCUGGUUAAUUUCGAUAACGAACGAGAUCCGAGCUGUUUAGUUGGCGUGCGGUGUUUAUACACCGGCAUGUUUCCUAUAUGGACUGUCAGUUUAAAACUGAAGGAAGUUUCGGGCGAAAUCAGGUCUGUGAUGCCCUUAGACACUCUAGGCGGCACGCGCGCUACACUGGGAGGCUGAACGUGUUGCUACCACUUAACGGUGGGGUGAAUCACGAAAUCCGACCCGUGAAUGGGAUAGUUUGUUGCAAUUUUCGGACUUGAACUAGGAAUCCCUUGUAAACGUGCUCAAGAAUAGCGCGUUGAAUACGUCCCUGCCGUUUGUACACACCACCCGUCGUUUCUUCCGACUGAUACUCAUUGUGAGUUGCAAGGACCUGUAAUGGGAAAUGCUUGCAAAAUGCUUUUAUAA